UUAGUUAUGGGUAAAAUGCGCAAAUAUUUUAAAAUAAGCAGGUGGUUAUAAAAUAUUCAUUGUUGUCGGGGAAUAUUCGUUUGGUCGUGAAAUAUUCUUGCUGUCGGGGAAUAUUCGUACGACGACGCAGUCUUUUGUGGGCCCCAUAACGGAAAGCGAUUGGAUGAAGAAAACGACAAGUAUAAGUUGUUUAUAAAUAACGACAUAGUUGUUACCGUUAACAUUGUUGGAAUACCCGAUGGUUAAAACACAGUAAUACGCGUUGUUGCACUGUAGCACACGGAAUUGCACCAAUUAUUGAUUCUUACGUAAGAAGACACUACUCAAUAAUUGUUACAGUAGUUACUGUUCAGUAUUUUAUUUUAUUGAUUCAAUAAUUGCUGCGUUGAUAUUUUAUAUUACUGUUGUUUCAAUAAUUGUCACUACACAGUAUUUUCCAUUAUCGAAGCAAUAAUUCAUAUUAUCUGAAUAAUAUUAUUAGAAAAC
rnacentral:lncRNA from 1 species